CACGGAAUCACCGAGGCGGAGCUUGAUGACGUGUUGUCCUGCGAUGAUGACGUAUUAAAUGACGUCUACACCUACUGGACACCGCCCAUGCGCAGACUGCCCCCUCUACUUCUCGUGUGCAUACGGGCGGACAUCGACCAAUAUGUCGUUAAGCGCGGUGCAGACGGUGCGCGCGUGUUGAACUGGUACCACCGUCAGUUUACGGAAGCUGCGCACGAGCGCUACUGCGCAGAUUAUGCGCAGAAAAGCGUCUCCAUAGCAACCUAGCUGAUUUCUUCGCGGGAACCUGGGCCAAUGUGGAGGUAAUAGAAGAGAACCGCUAUGGGACGUCACAGCCCUUUCGCUUCAGAGAGGAUGACUACAACAAUCGGGCUAUCAACAAUCUGCCCUAUCUCCGCUUGCACGCGGGUCACGUUGACCUU